GGAUGUAAAUCUAAGGCAAUCUGGCUGCGACAUCUGUCACCCCACUCAUCACCAGCACUGACUCCUCUGAUCUGGCUGGCUAGGGGGCUGUCCCCUUCCUCCCUCACCACACCAUGUGCAUCCCUCAGGAAGCUGCACCCUGGGUUAAGGAGGACAACCACCCCGAUAGAAAAGGACGGUUUCCUCAGUCAAGGGUAUAAAAGUAGCUGCGCUCCCCUGCUGGAACCUCCAAACAAGCUCUCAAGUUAAAGGAAAAAAUGAUGAGGGAUUAAUUACAGAACCUCACCUUGACUUCAUUUAUGAGACUGA
rnacentral:snRNA from 1 species